GCCCUUUCAGGCCUUUGGAGAGCCUCGGAGGGAGUUGGGAAAGGCUGUUUUCGCCCUUCGCGGAUGCAGAGAGAAGAUCUGGAGCCAGAACAUUCUAAGGGAGACACCAACUUGCCACCGUGAGACAAUAAACUGCCAAAAUGCAAUGAAGACUAUCACUCUUUUUUGAACUUACGAGAGUUUACAUAAGGAAAGGGAACUUGGGGUCCUGGAUUUGUGCAUCUCCAGCCUCAUGAAGCUUCAUCCAUACAACUCUCUGGAACAUCAAGCAAAGUCUGGAGACAAAUUCAUAGGACGGGUUGGUAGUAGGAUUUCACUUACGGCCCUGGAAUUUGCGGGAAAGGACCACGCAGUAGAAGUCCUUCUUGAGAAAUGCCUACGCUGGAUCGAUCAGCUCCAGACUGACUGCCACUCACUGGAGGGCAGACAGAACUUGUCUGAGGGAAGAUUUGUAAGAUUAUGCCACCAUCUGCUGGAAGAAUUUGGAAAAACGUGGCAGAAAGUGGAUAAUGAAAAGAAAAGGAAACCCAGGCCCGGCAUGGAGUAAGGUAGUCCUCGACUUACAACAGUUAAUUUAGUGACUGUUACAACGGCAGUGAAAAAGAAUGACUUAGGCUGUUUUCCACAGCAUUCCUGGUGUCACACAAUCAAAAUUCAGAUGCUUGAUCACUGAUUCAUAUUUACAGUGGUUGCAGUGUCCCGGAGUCAUGCGAUCAAGUUUUAUGACUUUCUGACAAGCCAAGACAAUGGGGAAGCCGGAUUCGCUUAAUGACUGUUUGACUAAUUUAACAACUGCAGUGAUUCAUUUACUGUGGCCAGAAAUGUCGUAAAAUGGGGCAAAACUCACUUAACAAAUAUCUCACUUAGGAACAGAAAUGUUGGGCUCCAUUCUGGUCGUAUGUUGAGGACUAUCUGGGUUAAGUAUCAGGUUGUCCCCAAUUUACAGCCAUUCAUUUAGUGAUGAAGUUAAAGCAGUACAAACUGAGUUAUGAUCAUUUUUCACACUUAUGACCCUUGAAAUAUCCUCAUAGUCACGUGAUCAAAAUACUUCAAGAGCAACGGAAUAGGUUUGAGUACAUAUUCCUCAACAUCCAAGUGUCGGAACAUGAACUGAAGUGUCCUCAACGAUUCUUUCACACCAGUCUUGUCUAGUUGACUAGCACAGUUUAAAAAAGGCAUUAAAAGCGGUUUUAAAUUCUUAUCCUGGAGGAAGCAGGGAAAGAAACAAGCAAUUAAACAAGGUCACUGGAGUUCUCUGGGUCUAGUAGCGAGAAUGACAAACACAUAGAAAGCCACAGAACAUAGAAUAACAGGCUUGAAAAGGAACUUAGUGAUAUUCUAGUCCAACCUCCUGCUCAAGCAGAAGACCCUAUACCAGUGAUGGCGAACCUUUUUGCCAUCGCGUGCCAGGAGGGGGGGGGAGGUUCGCGCGCGCAUGUGCCCACACCCAUAAUUCUAUGCGCCCUGCCCUGUGUAUGCACGCGCAACCCCCCUUCCCCCCCCCACUUGCUCCUGGCAUCCGAUGGCCAGGUAGGCCCAUUUUUCUUUCUUACCUGGCUCCAGACCCUCUCUAUGCAUCUGGGAAGGACGAAAACAGGCUUUCUCACUCCCUCGGAGGCCUGAAAGGGCCCAUUUUCCAACUCCCGGUGGGACAGGAAAUGACCUUUUUUGCUGUCCCCAGCCUCCAGAGCCUCUCUAGGAGUCUUGUCUAAUUGACUAGCACAGUUUAUCAAAGGCAUUAAAAGCGGUUUUAAAUUCUUAUCCUGGAGGAAGCAGGGAAAGAAACAAGCAAUGAAACAAGGUCACUGGAGUUCUCUGGAUCUAGUAGCGAGAAUGACAAACACAUAGGAACCCACAGAAAAUAGAAUAACAGGAUUGAAAAGGAAAUUAGUGAUCUUCUAGUCCAAUCUGCUGCUGAAGUGGGAGAUCCUAUACUCUUCUGCACAAAUGGCUGUUUAGUCUCUUCUUGAAAAUCUCCAAUGUUGGAGCAUUCACAACUUCUGGAGGCAAGUCAUUCUUCUGGAGGCAAUUGUUCUCGCUAUCAGGAAAUUCUCCUUAGUUCCAGGUUGCUUUUCUCCUUGAUUAGUUUCCAUCCAUGAUUGGGGAUCCAUGAUGGGGCAUUAAGCAGAGAUCAAACCCUCCCCUCCCAUGUACUGAUGCUGUCACCUCGCUGGGUUAUGAAAGGUCUGCAAGAAAACAACCAAGUUCAGAGAGCACCAAGGACCUCACAACUUCAGGAUUGUCCAGAAUCUCUCUGGAUUAUCCAGAGUGUCCACAUGAUACAACCACAUGGCUCUGUGUGAACACAGAGUACAAGUGGUCUCCUUAAGAAGGUAGCAUGUACAGACCAGGAGCUUAGGUUACCCAAUCCUUGAACUCACUUCUUUGCUCCGACCAUUUGCCAGCAAAAUUAAUAGCACAACAAGGCUCUGCGGGAUGUUUUCUCUCACGUAACUUCCAUGAAGCUCCUCCACCCUUUUCAAUAUUGUCCCAAAAGUAAUGGAGAUAUAUUGCAGUAAGGAGCUGUCCACUACGAGCAAUCGCAGUGGGCCUAAAAAGGACUUAAAAGAUACUCUAAAAGUGCCAGUGCCGACGAUGCUGUUCCCCUGGUAGUCUCGGAGAUGAAUAUGGGGGAAGUCCAACUGCCUUUUUGAGAUUUUAGGCACCAAUCCCCUUAAUGUACCCCAAGAGACGAUGGUCAUUUACGACCCUGUAUCCACCUCCAUAUGGCAAGGUGAUCCCUCAAUCAGGACGGUGACAUGGACCUUCUUGGAGAAGGAGAGGCUAGCUUGACUGUUGACUGUUUCUGCCUUAGAGGUGCCUCUGGAGACGGUAAAAUAGUCCUCUCCAUAAUUCUCUUGUCUUUUCUGCAUUCUUUUAUUCACAUUGCUCUGAGUGAAGACGGAGUACAAGUGGUAUUAAGAAAGCAUGAACAGACCAGGAGUCAGGUUACCCAGUCCAACUCACUGCUUCGUUCCGUCCAUCUGCUAGCAGAAUUCUUAGUGGAACAAGGCUCUGCGGAAUAUUUUCUUUUAUAUAACUCCUAUGAACCUUCUUCGCCCUUUUCAGUAGCAUCCCAAAAAUGUUCAUGGCCAUAUGUUGCAGUUCAGGGUCUUCCUAAGAAGGAAGAGAAACAGGUUUGUCACUCCAAUAGCAGAAAAUCUAUAUAGCUCAAUGCUGAACUUUGAAUUUAGGAAGAUCUUCGAGGCCACCCAACGGUGGUACACUCUCCUCCAUAAACACCCCUGGUCUUGCUUUCUUUUCUAUCCUCCUAUAACUUAACUCUAUUGUUUUGUGUCCCACAAAUUGAGGAGAGCACGGCUCAAAUGACCUCUUUCCGGUAUUUACAAACUACUGUCAUGUCCACUUGGUUAAAAGUCUAGUGAUUCUCAAACAUCCACAUCGUGGUUUGCCAAAGGUGCCAAAAAGCAAUGGGACUUUUUUGUUUUCUUUUUUCCGUUAAAAAUGUUCUGUUUUUCACUCAAGAAGCUUCUUCAUUUCAAAACUUCAUUCAAGCUUCUUGGAUGAAAAGCAAAAUGUUUUCAAAGAAAACACUAAGAAAGUCCAGUUGCCUUAUGGGAAAAGCACCUUUGGGACAACCAUCACCUGGAUGACUGAGAAUCUCCUUAAACAUGUCUGUUUAAUUAUAAUACUGUCCAGUCUUCAUUUAGCUAGCUUGAUAAUCCGCACAUCAUUGGGUGCUUUGUCAAACGCUUUGCUGAAAUGAAGAUAUAUUAUGUCUACCACAUUCCCACAAUCUAUUAUGGACAUUUUGGGGGAUUUUUUAUUUGUUUGCUUUGGUACUUUGGACUUCUGGCAACUGCCUGCAAUAGCGUCCACAGGGUUUUGGGGGUUUUUUUGGGCCAGGAAUAUUUUGGAACUGGUUUGUCAUUUUUUGCUUCCUAGGACAGAGAGAGUGUGUGACUGACUAAGGUCACCCAACUGCCAUCAAACCUAAUGAAAACUAGGAUUUAUGCUUUCAGGGUUUUAGUCUUUAACCUCCACACCAAACUGAUUUUCUAUUAAGGAAGUGUGAUGUGUUGUGAGAACCUACAAGGACAGACUGCAAUCUACAUGACAGUCAGCUAAACAAAAUCUGAGACCAGGGCAGAAAUUUAAUGUGAGAAAACAUUCUCCUUUGUUUUCUUAAAGAUAAAGGCAGGGAGGGUUCCAUUAACCCUAUAAUAAAAGCAUUCAUAACUUCCAUCAUCUUAAUCUGAUCUGCCUCAGUUACCCCCUCAAGAAAAAAAGUAAGAGUAGUUUGGCAAUUGCUUAUCUUGACAAUUCCAUUCUACUUGUUGGCAAUUGUGGUAAAAUGCUUGCAGAUCAACCUUUAUGGUAUGAUCUAGGGUGCUGUUUUUCAAUCUUAGCAGCUUUAAGAUGUGGGGAUUUCAACUCCUGGAGUUCUCCAGCCAGCAGAGUUGAAGUCCACCCAUCUUAAAACAUCUGAGAAAAAGCAACACCAAUCUAAUAGAUAUGGAGCGUGAUUGGGUUUUUUCUCGAUAUGGUGCAUGAUAUUCUAGAUUAUCUAGACUGAUGUGUGGUUUGGUGGAGCUGAAGAGAGUGGCAACCUUCAUUCUCUUCCACCUCAUCUGGCACUUCUCCAGCUCUCUAGAACCACUCAAGGAUCAUCUAGAAGCUUACACACUAUUUUAUAUUACCAUAACACAGUUGUUGUUGAACUAUUUCAAAGCAUUUUUGUUAAAAUUAGAAUUCUGCAGAUGAGAGAGAGAGAGAACCAGUUGUCGUGAUUUGUUUGACAUGUCAGGAAAAUAUUUUAGCAGCAGUGGAAUAAAUUUGACUGCCUUGUAUCCAUAUUUCUCGACAUCCAACUGUUGGAACAUGAAAUGAAGUGUCCUCAGAGAUUCUUUCACACCAGUCUUAUCUAGUUGACUAGCACAGUUUAUCAAAGGCAUUAAAAGCAGCUUUAAAUUCUUAUCCUGGAGGAAGCAGGGAAAGAAACAAGCAAUUAAACAAGGUCACUGGAGUUCUCUGGGUCUAGUAAUGAGAAUGACAAACACAUAGAAAGCCACAGAACAUAGAAUAACAGGCUUGAAAAGGAACUUAGUGAUCUUCUAGUCUGACUUGCUGCUCAAGCAGGAGACCCUAUACCAGUGUUGGCAAACCUUUUUGGCACCGAGUGCCCAAACUGGAACGUGCGUGCACAUGAUCAGACUUCAAACCUAAAGAUCAGCUGGUUGGUGCACAGGCGCACCAGCCUGCGCACCAGCCAGCUGGUAUUCGGGUUUUCGGUGCUCCAGCGCAUGCGAAGACUAACUGUCUGGCAAGCAUGCACACUCUAGAAACCUGAAGAACAGCUGGUGAUGGUGCGCAUGCCCACAAAGAGGGCUCUACAUGCCUCCUAUGGCACACAUGCCAUAGGUUCACCAUCACGGCCCUAUACUAUUCUGGACAAAUGGCUUUGGAGAAUAGGUGGACCCCUUUUUCUUUGGAGCAGCCCUCAAAUAUUAAAAGACGCAUGUCAUCCUACCUCCCCCCCCCCUUUUUUUUUUUGUUAGACUAGAACUACCUAGUACCCCAAUUGUUCAUCAUAUGGUUUGCCUCCAGCUAAAGUAAACCGAAGGGAAACACUUCAGCUUACACAGUUAAACAUACCAUAAUAUGCCCCAUUUCAAGCACAUAAACAUAUGCACUUAGAACGUAGAACAUGGAUUAAUAGAGUUGGAAGGGACCUUGGAGGUCUUCUGGUUCAACCCCUUCUCAAGCAGGAGACGCUAUACUACUCCAGAUAAUGAUUUUCAAGACUCUUUUUGAAAACUUGUAGUGAUGGCGCACCCACAACUUUUGAAGGCAAAUUGUUCCGUUGCCUGAUUGCUCUCACCAUUAGGACAUUUCUCUUUAGUUCCCGGAUGCUUGUUGCCUUGAUUAGUUUCCAUCCAUUGUUUCUUCUCUUGCCUUUUGGUGUUUUGGAAAACAAUUUGACCCUCUCAUCUUUCUAGGAGCCCCUCAAAUAUUGGAACAGGUUUUAUCAGCACCCCUACUCCUU